rnacentral:rRNA from 1 species
GGGACACGUGGUAUCCUGUCUGAAUAUGGGGGGACCAUCCUCCAAGGCUAAAUACUCCUGACUGACCGAUAGUGAACCAGUACCGUGAGGGAAAGGCGAAAAGAACCCCGGCGAGGGGAGUGAAAAAGAACCUGAAACCGUGUACGUACAAGCAGUGGGAGCACGCUUAGGCGUGUGACUGCGUACCUUUUGUAUAAUGGGUCAGCGACUUAUAUUCUGUAGCAAGGUUAACCGAAUAGGGGAGCCGAAGGGAAACCGAGUCUUAACUGGGCGUUAAGUUGCAGGGUAUAGACCCGAAACCCGGUGAUCUAGCCAUGGGCAGGUUGAAGGUUGGGUAACACUAACUGGAGGACCGAACCGACUAAUGUUGAAAAAUUAGCGGAUGACUUGUGGCUGGGGGUGAAAGGCCAAUCAAACCGGGAGAUAGCUGGUUCUCCCCGAAAGCUAUUUAGGUAGCGCCUCGUGAAUUCAUCUCCGGGGGUAGAGCACUG